AGAAAUGGCAGAAAAAGUGAAAGUUUUCUCUGGGACUUCCAGGCUUCUUCAAGGAGAUAAAACUCAAAAAGCCUCUGACUGAAAUAAGAAUUGCCAGACCCUUACCAUCCCACCUGUCUCACUAUGACUGUUACAAUGUCCUAAGGACCUCCCCACCCCAGCAGCUUGGCCUUCUCCUUCCUGCCCUCCUCUAGAAAAGCUCCCAGCCACACUCACUGAGGAUGGGAUGCCCUGCAAGGUUUUGGUGAGACAAUGGGGAAUGCCAGAUGACAGGUUGUUAGGAGAGGCUCAUAUGAAGAGGAACUACUGCACCUGCUAAAAGGAUGAGCUUGAAGCAAAUAUUCCUGCCCCAGGGAAGCCUUCAGCUUGCUGCAGCCCCAGUUGACAUCUAGACUGCAAGAUCCACUACCUACCUAAUCUACUUCUAAAUUCUUGACCUUCAGAAACUGUGAGUUUUCAGAGAAAACCUAAAUAUAAGAUAUGACUGUGAUGAUGAUGCAGAUAAAAUUAAACCCCAGAGACAGCUGAUGCAUAGGCAGACAUAAAGUACAGGUGAGUUUCCAAGGCAAGUAGUUAUCCUGGUGAAGGGGAAAUGGAAAAAACCAACAUUGCAUACCUGGUCUCACCUGGAAAGGGAUGGAUAUCUGGUUAGCAGGAACCGAAUGGAAUUUGGAGGCUAUGCUUGGAGAUCACUUAGCUCUGAAACUUUAGGUAAUGGCCCCCUCUCUGCAGCCUUGGCUUCCUUCAUGGUGAAAUGAGGGCUGUUCCAGCGCCAGGGUCAUCUAAGGACAGCUCUUUCAGGCCUCGGAGCCCUGGCAUUGGUCGUUUUCUCUGCUGAAGUCACCUCUGCCCUUCUACCCCCCUGACCUCCCACGUUGACCCUUCAGGCUUGGCUGCCUUUCCCUAUUGUGCCCACCAGGCUGGAUAAGUGACUUUACUACCAAUCCCACAGAACGCAAGGCCCAGAGGUGCUCUGGUCACAGUCCGGGUCUUCCUUAGCCACCGCACCUGAAGCAGAGGCCCCCUCCGCUUAUAUCUCCAUCUAAUUCUUCUGAUCAUGUACCUCCCAAUACAUAAUGAUCAUAGCUUGUCAUUGUUUUAUCUACUGGCUGUUUCCUUGGGUCUUUUCUCUUUAGGACGUCCCUGCCUCUUGGUGGCCGCUCUCCCCACAGGCCUGGCACAUGGGCAGGGCCCCAUACGUGUUGGUUAAAUGACAGAAGAAACAGCUGUGGGUAUCCUAGGCCUGAGAACACUGGGAAGACUGCCCUGGGCUGGGCUGAUUCCAAACUGCCGGCGGAGGCGGGACCUAGGGCGGAUUCUGGGCGGGACGCGGAGAGUCUCGGGCGGAGCCUCUGGGGCGUCAGGGCGGGGCUUUGGGGCUGCGGCGGAGCAGGCCUAACCAAGCAGCCCAGGCUACGCCUGGUUGAGUUCCACUGGCCGCUCGGCCCUCCGGCCACCCGCCCGCGCCGCCGUCAGGGGGCGCUCUCGCUCGCGGCGCCGCGUUUCUACUGGGGAGGCGCCGUCCGCUCCGGGCGGCUGGAGCCGCAACUCCGGGCGCGGGCUCAGUCGUCCCGUCUGCCGCCGCCGCCGCCACCGCCGCCUCCGGGAGCGGGCUCGCUCGUCCUCGCGGUCUCACUCUCCGGCCGCCGGCGUCUCCCGGCCCGGCAGCUGCCGCCGCCGCCGCCGCCGCCGCCGCGCACCCUCCACUGGAAACUGCCAGAAGGGAGAGAAGAUGAAAAGCAAAUGAAUCAUUUUCUAAUUGUUAGCAGCUCUGGAAAAUGACUUAGUAGAAGAGGUUGAAGCUCUUCUGGAAAUUCUUUUGGAUUAUUUUUGUUUCAUUCAUCUGCAUUGUCUCUGAGAUGUUCCUGAUCAUCAUCACUUGAGAGGUUGAUUAUCCAGCUGUUGGAUGACCAGGAAUCUUCUUGGUUUUUUUGAUUUAUUUCUUGCUGUAUCUGAGCAUCUCCACAGAGGAUAUUUAGAGUUUCCCUGGAACCUGGGCUCCCCGAGACGCAGCACUGGAGCAGAUGGAUAAUGGAGACUGGGGCUAUAUGAUGACUGACCCAGUCACGUUAAAUGUAGGUGGACACUUGUACACAACAUCUCUCACCACGUUGACGCGUUACCCGGAUUCCAUGCUUGGAGCUAUGUUUGGGGGGGACUUCCCCACAGCUCGAGAUCCUCAAGGCAAUUACUUCAUUGAUCGAGAUGGACCUCUUUUCCGAUAUGUCCUCAACUUCUUGAGAACUUCAGAGUUGACUUUACCCCUGGAUUUUAAGGAAUUUGAUCUGCUUCGGAAAGAAGCAGACUUUUAUCAGAUUGAGCCCUUGAUUCAGUGUCUCAAUGACCCCAAGCCUUUGUAUCCUAUGGAUACUUUUGAAGAAGUUGUGGAGUUAUCUAGUACUCGGAAGCUUUCUAAGUAUUCCAAUCCAGUAGCUGUCAUCAUAACCCAGUUAACCAUUACCACCAAGGUCCAUUCCUUACUAGAAGGUAUAUCAAACUAUUUUACGAAGUGGAAUAAGCACAUGAUGGACACCAGAGAUUGCCAGGUUUCCUUUACUUUUGGACCCUGUGAUUAUCACCAGGAAGUUUCUCUUCGAGUCCAUCUGAUGGAAUACAUUACAAAGCAAGGUUUCACAAUCCGCAACACCCGAGUGCAUCACAUGAGUGAGCGGGCCAACGAGAACACAGUGGAGCACAACUGGACUUUCUGCAGGCUGGCCCGGAAGACCGAUGACUGACCUUCAGCCUGGGAGAAGUUCCUACAAAUGGACUCCCCAAGGAGAUUGAAGAGGCUGUUUUUUGUUUGUUUGGUUUUUGUUUUUGUUUUUUAAAUCACAGUGUGAGGAUUUUUUUUUUUUUUUUUUAAUAUUUGUAUUUAUUUGAAGGCAUUGGGGACCAGCAGGAAGUUUUGUGCUUUAGCAGACUCCUCUUUGUGUGGUUCCCUUCACCCUGAGUAUGCAUGUGCCUGUUCAGAGCCUCCAGAUACCUUUUUUAUAAAAAGAAGUCUGAAA
rnacentral:lncRNA from 1 species